GUGCUCUCUUUGAUAGCACAUAUUCUAAAAUUAGAACAAAACAGAGAAGAUUAGUUUGGCCCUUGGCAAGGUUGACAAGCCAAUUUAUGAAACAUUCCAUAUUUAA
ensembl:snRNA Gm24919 predicted gene, 24919